UACGAAGGGGGCUAGCGUUGUUCGGAAUUACUGGGCGUAAAGCGCACGUAGGCGGACAUUUAAGUCAGGGGUGAAAUCCCUGGGCUCAACCCAGGAACUGCGUCCGAUACUGGAAGGCUUGAAUCCGGGAGAGGGAUGCGGAAUUCCAGGUGUAGCGGUGAAAUGCGUAGAUAUCUGGAGGAACACCGGUGGCGAAGGCGGCAUCCUGGACCGGUAUUGACGCUGAGGCGCGAAAGCCAGGGGAGCAAACGGG
rnacentral:rRNA from 1 species